AUGCUCACUUUGGCAGCACAUAUACUAAAAUUGGAAUGAUACAGAGAAGGUUAGCAUGGCCUCUGCCCAAGGAUGAAAUGCAAAUUCGUGAAGCAUUCUAUAAUUUU
ensembl:snRNA U6 U6 spliceosomal RNA